CCUGAUGAAAAUCGUGGCCAAUUACGACGCACACGACCAUUUUCGUUCUCUCUAGUUCUGAAACCCAGUGCGAGAAGAUAUGCUUUCCUGUUAUUCACUUCAGAUUCCAAGGUCAGGCAGCCACGGUGCUGUCAAGAUGAAGCCAGGAGAAAGGAAGGGGCCAUCGAGUGAACGCUAAGACACCACAGGGAUAAUAAGGAUCGUGAGGGGAACCGCUAGGGCGUACCUGCAGAACUACACCACGCUGUUCUCUCUCCUCCCACUGCAUCUUCAUAUUACUGGAGACGUCAUCCAUUUUCUCAUGGGCUGGAAAGUGGCAUGGUCUUAGCGGAACACGUAUCCCACUACAGUUCAACAACGACUUGUCACAGACACCCAUUACGUCAUUCUGCCUGAAGAUGUUGGACGAAACGUCGCAUAUAAGGAGCUGUCUUUUGGAUAGCUCCUCGGUGGCUUGCUGACCAAAACAGAGAUUUACCAAAAUAGAAAUAAUUCAUCAGAAGCAUUCAACUUUGUUUAAAAUAUAAUUUAUUUCCUGGCUAGACUAAUACAUUUUCUUGUAAUUAAUCACUUGCAUGUAUUUCUCAAGUGUUUAUAUCAAAUGUAUGCUGCUCAGUAAUUUACUGAUAAUAUUUGAUUUAUAUGUCUUUUAAAGUGUUAAUAAUGGAUGAUGGUCAGUAAUUUAUCAAUAAGAUUAUGUAUUUUCCUAUACAUUUGUAAUGCUACAA